AGGGCACCACCAGGAGUGGAGCCUGCGGCUUAAUUUGACUCAACACGGGAAAACUCACCCGGCCCGGACACUGGAAGGAUUGACAGAUUGAGAGCUCUUUCUUGAUUCAGUGGGUGGUGGUGCAUGGCCGUUCUUAGUUGGUGGAGUGAUUUGUCUGGUUAAUUCCGAUAACGAACGAGACUCUAGCCUAUUAAAUAGAUCGUUGGCUUACAAACGCCGGCGAGACUUCUUAGAGGGACAGGCGGCGAUUCAGCCGCACGAAACAGAGCAAUAACAGGUCUGUGAUGCCCUUAGAUGUCCGGGGCCGCACGCGCGCUACACUGAAGUGGUCAGCGUGCAUUUUGAAACCUACUCUGUCAAGAGUGGGGAACCCAAUGAACCUUCUUCGUGAUUGGGAUAGGGGAUUGUAAUUAUUCCCCUUGAACGAGGAAUUCCCAGUAAGCGCGAAUCAUAAGUUUGCGCUGAUUACGUCCCUGCCCUUUGUACACACCGCCCGUCGCUACUACCGAUUGAAUGUUU
rnacentral:rRNA from 1 species